GUUUCAGAUUCCAUAUAAACAUUACUGAAUCAUGGCAAAAGAACACCGCGAACCUUCACAAUGUCCCAUGUAAACAUUACUGGAUCUUGCACUAAGGGAACAGCUAAAUUUUAGAUGAUUUGAUGGUGACCAGUUUUUGACAUUGACGACAUCCUUCUACCACCAUGGACCUUCUCCACCCAGUCAGCAUCUUUCAGAGAAUGGGGGAAAUUAACCACCUUUACGCAUUUAUGGUGCAUGUAAA